rnacentral:lncRNA from 1 species
UUUAGAGAAGCUUCCAUGUGGUGCUGAAAAGAAAGUAUAUUCUUUUGUGUUUGGAUGAAAUGUUAUAUAGAUGUCUGUUAAUUGCAAUUGGGUUAUGACUUCUGUUAUUUCCUUUGUCUCUUUGUUAAGUUUCUCUCUGGUGGUCCUGUCCAGUGAUGAGAGUGGUAUGUUGGAAUCUCCCACUGUAGCUGAGUGAGUUCUUACAUGCCAAACUGCUUGAUGAUGACAUGCUAGGACAGCAAUUCUCUUUGGAGAGGAAGGCAGCAACUGGAAAAUUGCCUGAGGAGGGUUUCUAGACUAAGUUGGGAAACUGAACCAGUCUUUACG